CACAUAGUGUUAAGCCAGCAGGUGCAC
rnacentral:piRNA from 1 species